UACGUAGGAGGCGAGCGUUGUCCGGAGUUACUGGGCGUAAAGCGCACGCAGGCGGUCAGGUUAGUCUGUGGUGACAGUCGUCGGCUCAACUGACGAAGUUCCAUGGAAACUGUCUGACUUGAGGGCUUCAGAGGUACACGGAAUUCCGGGUGGAGUGGUGAAAUGCGUAGAUAUCCGGAGGAACACCAAAGGCGAAGGCAGUGUCCUGGGAAGUACCUGACGCUCAGGUGCGAAAGCGUGGGGAGCAAACAGG
rnacentral:rRNA from 1 species